rnacentral:rRNA from 1 species
GACGAACGCUGGCGGCGUGCUUAACACAUGCGAGUCGAACGGAAAGGCCUGCUUUCCCUUGUGGAUUGCGGGUACUCGAGUGGCGAACGGGUGAGUAACACGUGAGUGAUCUGCCCCCAACUUGGGUAUAAGCCUGGGAAACUGGGUCUAAUUCCCGAUAGGACUGCAGGGUGGUGCCUGUGGUGGAAAACGAUUUUCUAGUGGUUGGGGAUGAGCUCGCGGCCUAUCAGCUUGUUGGUGGGGUAAUGGCCUACCAAGGCGGCGACGGGUAGCCGGCCUGAGAGGGUGGACGGCCACAUUGGGACUGAGAUGCGGCCCAGACUCCUACGGGAGGCAGCAGUGGGGAAUAUUGCACAAUGGGCGGAAGCCUGAUGCAGCGACGCCGCGUGGGGGAUGACGGCCUUCGGGUUGUAAACUCCUUUCGACCGCGAGGAAGCCACCUGGUUGGAAGGGUGGUGACGGUAGUGGUAGAAGAAGCACCGGCUAACUACGUG